UACGUAGGGGGCAAGCGUUGUCCGGAAUCAUUGGGCGUAAAGAGCGCGUAGGCGGCCCAGUAAGUCCGCUCUGAAAGUCAGGGGCUCAACCCCUGGAUGCGGGUGGAUACUGCUGGGCUAGAGUCCGGAAGAGGCGAGUGGAAUUCCUGGUGUAGCGGUGAAAUGCGCAGAUAUCAGGAAGAACACCCGUGGCGAAGGCGGCUCUCUGGUACGGAACUGACGCUGAGACGCGAAAGCGUGGGGAGCGAACAGG
rnacentral:rRNA from 1 species